CCACACGACUCUCGGCAACGGAUAUCUCGGCUCUCGCAUCGAUGAAGAACGUAGCAAAAUGCGAUACCUGGUGUGAAUUGCAGAAUCCCGCGAACCAUCGAGUUUUUGAACGCAAGUUGCGCCCGAGGCCUUUCGGCCGAGGGCACGCCUGCCUGGGCGUCACG
rnacentral:rRNA from 1 species